rnacentral:rRNA from 1 species
CUAGGGAUCUUGCCCAAUGGCCGAAAGGCUGAGGCAGCGACGCCGCGUGAGGGAAGACGGCCCUCGGGUUGUAAACCUCUUUUGUGCGAGACGAGGAUGGACGGUAUCGCACGAAUAAGCACCGGCUAACUCCGUGCCAGCAGCCGCGGUAAGACGGAGGGUGCGAGCGUUGUCCGGAUUUACUGGGCGUAAAGGGCGCGUAGGCGGCUUUAUUAGUCAGUCGUGAAAGGCGUGGGCUUGCCCUGCGUAAGCGAUUGAGACGGUGGAGCUGGAGUGUGGUCGAGGGAAGCAGAAUGCCGGGUGUAGUGGUGAAAUGCGUAGAGAUCCGGCGGAAUACCGGUGGCGAAGGCGGCUUUCUGGGCCAUAACUGACGCUGAGGCGCGAGAGCGUGGGGAGCGAACCGG